rnacentral:rRNA from 1 species
GACGAACGCUGGCGGCGUGCCUAAUACAUGCAAGUAGAACGCAGUUGCGAACGGGUGAGUAACGCGUAGGUAACUGCCUCAUAGCGGGGGGUAACUAUUGGAAACGAUAUCUAAUACCGCAUACUGUGAGAUGGACCUGCGUUGUAUUGGCUAGUUGGUGAGGUAAAGGGCCACCAAGGCGACGAUACAUAGCCGACCUGAGAGGGUGAUCGGGCAAACUGGGACCGGGACACGGCCCCGACUGCUCACGGGUGCAGCAGUAGGGAAUCUUUGGACAUGGACGGAAGUCGUGCCGAGCACAGGCGGCUGAGGGGAGAAGGGUCUCGGAACUGAAAGGUCUGUUGAUAGAGGAGCGUUACCUACACAGAAAGGGCCGGCUAACUACGUGCCAGCCGCCGCGGUAAUAC